rnacentral:lncRNA from 1 species
AUGAGAGCUCUGGUAAGAACAUCUUCUUUGGGAUGCGGCAUCGUAGUUGUCACCACCUGGACUGCUUGUGUCGCAAGAGGUGAUUCGGGAAUCCUGGAUCAUGCAAAAUGGUAUGAUUGACAUGAGAAUCUUUUAAUAAAAAAAUGGUGGGAACAAACCAAGAUUAGAAUUUGAUGGGUUAAGGUAGAGAUGACAAUUCCAAUGCACUACUUAAGAACAUGUAGACUGGGGCUAUGUUUUAUUUUCGAAAAGGUCAAAUGGGUAAUUAAAUUGAGAAUGGCUGGAACGGGUCAAAAGUUGUCUAUCCAACUAAUAUAGUUUUUGUAAUCAGGUUUGAGACUUGAAAAGAACACUAAUGGUUUAUAAACAUAUUUAAAAUUUUUUGACAUAAAGUAUUUUUGGGUCAACCCAGUACACGACAUGUUUGACCAGUACAAAGUUAACUCAUUUUGACCUGUC